rnacentral:rRNA from 1 species
UACGGAGGAUGCGAGCGUUAUCCGGAUUUAUUGGGUUUAAAGGGUGCGUAGGCGGCUUUUUAAGUCAUCGGUGAAAUUUUGCAGCUUAACUGUAAUAGUGCCGUUGAUACUGGGGAGCUAGGAUUUGGUUGCUGUGGGUGGAAUGUGUGGUGUAGCGGUGAAAUGCUUAGAGAUCACACAGAAUAUCGAUUGCGAAGGCAGCUCACAAAGCCAAGAUUGACGCUGAGGCACGAAAGUGUGGGGAUCAAACAGGAUUAGA